UCCCAAAAUCAUCAAUGGAUCGCGAGUGGCGUCUCUGGCUCCCCGGAGGAGUAGGGACCGGUGUAGUAGUAACAACAAAUCCCCAUUAUGGGUUGUUAUGGACAAGUAAUAAAUAUCCAAUUCGCUUAACGAUUGACGAGCGAGCGAGACACACAAAAAUCAUGGGUGCUAGCCGCCAUGUCUUGUUGUUUGCGUGUGAUAUCGUCAGGCAAAAAAAAAGCAAGCCCCUCUUCUUAAAGUAGGAUUACGUCGUAGCAUUAUGGACUUUGAUACACGUUUCUGCUAGGAAAAGCCCGGCGACAGAGAUACACAAUCAUUGCAUCGUCCACCGUCAACUCUACCUUUCGAUGUGUAAUAACAUUUACUAAUUCUACUACGCGCCCUGUAUAAAGAUGUAAACAUGUAUUUUAGAUUAUCAUGUAAUUAACAUACGAGACACACACAUUCACCAUACACACACACACACCUUGCUUAAGAAGGCUGGUUUUGAACAUCGACAAUAUCGACUUUUAAAAAGUUGGUAUCGAGAGAUAGUGAAGCUGCACAACGGUUUUUUAAACGAUGCGCUUCAAUCCCUUUUUAACGCCAAAAUUACCAACUGACCAGCGAUCGCAUGAUUGUUCUUGCCUUUUCGAAUUUCUGAUGUUUCAUAUCAAUCAUUCAAUCAAUCAAGCCAAAAUCUCGGUUUUGUGAAAGAGAAAAUUGCAUUCAUACGAGUUUUAAGACUCCCUUUUUCCAGUUUUCAUUGACAUGCAGGGGAGGAUUAUCAUUGGCAGAGUCGAAGGGAGAUGAUGUUAAGUACUCAUUUUUUGUUUUCGUUUAUUUUGUCGAAGACAUUUUUAGUUUUCUGCGGCUUUGUAAUAUCUCUCGUCGGGCGGUGUAUGGAAGUUAAAACAAACGACAAGAAUGAAUGAGUGAUAGGAUUAAAUAAGUCUGAAUGUUAUGAGAGCAAAUCGAUUUUCGAGCGAGAGCGGAAGGAAUUUAUCAAGGAAAUUUAUUGCAAUUAUUUUUACUGUGACUUGGAGAAUAUUUAUAAAAUUCCAAGACGAUGCGAACUGGUGUCGCAGAGUAAAUUAGCACAAGAAAACAAAAGUUUUAUUCUUUGCCAGCCUUGAUAAGUAAUUUGACUUUGAUUGUAUAAAAAUCCGACUCUCGCUGUUCGCGAAAAUAGAUUUGCUCAAUAUGAAAAAAUUUCUAUUGUAGGAAUGACGAUUCUACAAUUCCUUAUACAUUUAGAAUAUUUUCUCGAAAGUGAUAAAAUUUUUUUGUUUACGAUUACAAUGCACGCAUUGCAUUACGCAGGUCGGUUUAUUUCUCUUUUAGUUAUUUUUUGUUUAUUUUUUUUGUUUGUAUAGCAAGUGAAAAAUUAUUGAAAUUCCGCGAUGUGGUGUUAUUUUAUUCAUCAGUUUUUAUUUGAAAAGAAGCGCGUGCCGCCUUAAUUUCGCUUCUUCAUUUGGUUUGCUUUCUACGUGGUUUGAAUCUAAAAUAAGCAGAGAAACGGGAAGGAAUAGGCUGAUGAAAGAUCAAUUCAGACUCUCUGUUGUAUUUGGCAUUAGUUAUGUUUAGUUUGGUAGGCUCAAAUUUUUAAUGGUAUCUAUAGUAUCCGAAAAUUGCGGUUCUAGGCUUUGAUUUCAUUGAAACGGCAAAAUUUUGGGAGAAAGAUACAAUCGAGUCGCAGAAUAAACUUUCUGCAUCACCGACUUCUUCCAAGUUACCAUUUUGAUCAUUAAAAAUAAAUUAAAAAGUUUAACAAUUCAAAAAAAAAGUUAACUUACUAAUUUUUUGGCCUCAAAAACUCUAGAUUGUAAAGAAUUAAAUUCACUUCGUUACUUGUUUGGCCAAGAUAGAAAUUAUCUCUAGGAAAGAAGCAAAUUAAUACAAAUUUCGAUGAUAAGACUUGGCGGAAGUCGGCGUGGAUUCAGUUUUUCUCCUCGCCCUAAAAGCUUGAAAGAUCUCAGUCAAUUUGCAACGUCACAGUUUUAAUAUUUGUAAAUUAAACUUCUUUCUUGUUUAGAAAUACGGUUUGAAUUAUUUAGACGAUUAGUUUUACGAGUUAAAGAAAAACCAGUGAUUUUUAUUGUACUAGUAUUUCUGAAUUCAGGAUCAAUUAAUUAUUUUAUAGAAUAUUGAUCGUUUUAGGAAUCCUGAUUGUUAGUUCUUGAAUCGAAUUUUAAAAAAAUGAAAUAGUCUUUUUCUCUCAAAUUGGGAAAAUUGUAUUUACCGUAAAACUUCAAUUCAAGAAACAUCAGGAUUUUUUGAAAGAACUGCUUUUUAUUUGACGUUGUUUAGAGACUGAUAAACGAAAUUGAUAAAUAGUGCCUGAUUCAUAUGGAAAGGUUCGGCUUUUUGUUAAAUUUUAUUGUGCCAGUCACGUUACAAAUUUACUAGUCCUUUUUUGUUUCACAAAUUCGUUGACAGAACUGAAAAUGAAUUUUGAGAAGGAUAUUUUAAGUCAACAGAGAAGUCGAACGUUUUUUAAAUUUCUAUAUGAAUCUACCUCGAAGAAAUAUUUUCCCGUAAAUUCUGUACAUAAACAAUUCGCGAAACUUGUAAUUUUAUCAGUAUUGAAAACAUUGUGUACAUACGAAAAUGGGACGCGCGCUCGAGGUGGUGGCACGGAUUUCUUGAUUAGUUUUUUUUAUAUUUAUUUUAGUUCGGUGGAACUAAAGUUUUGAAGUUCAUGAAUAGGUAAUCGAGUUAUAGAAACGAAUCAAUAUUUCGUUCUGGGCGCCUAAAAAUGAAACAGUGAAUCGACUAAGGAGCAAAAUCAAUUGGUCGAUCCUGAAAAAAAUUAGCUGUGAUGUCGAAUCUAUAGGUACUACAGACUUUUAAUUCAUAAUUGAUUUAUAUAUAUUAUAUAUAUUAUAUGUAAAUGGUAGGGAAAAGUAAUUAAGUAUGCAUUGUACAAUGAUAAUUUUAAUUAUCGGGUGUAAGAUCACAGGAUAUUGUUAGGUGUAAAAAAAAGAAGCUCGAUAUCGACAAUUCAGUCCCGAUCCAAUGUUAUUGAUUGACAAAGGGAUAAUUGAAUGUGAAAAAAUUGGUGUACUCGAGAUCGGUCGAAUAUUGAACGUUGAAACGCGGAAGUAAUAAGGGAAAGUACUUAAAACGGAAAGUUUCUUGAAAUUCCAUUCAGACUUCUGCUUUUCAGCGAUCGUCAUUCGGAAGGAGCGUAAUAUAGAUUUAUAAAUGCGAUGGCGAUUGGCUGGGUCAUCCCGAAAAACAAAAUUCGAAAGCUAUUUCAAUAAAAGUGAUUUGAAUUCGGGAUGGCCCCCAAUCGAUCGACACUUUAAUGUGAUAUUGUAACGUACAAAACCGUUCGUCGCAAUAGGGGUCCUACAUAAAGCAGAAAAAUUCGCAAUAGAUUGCAGCGAAACAAAUUUUAAUCGGAAUCGACAUUUCUCCCAUCGGCACUCGUUUCAUCAAACUACUGAAUGCAAUUUUUUCCGGAUUCGAAUUUUAUGAUAUUAUUAAAUUGAAUGAAAAAUUUUAAGUUUUAUUUUUAACUGGUGGAUUCGAAAUUUGAAGGAAAAUCAAUCGUUAGCUUGGAUCUUUUAAUCGUAAUUGGGAAGAAACUGUUGAAUGAAAAGUGAGAGGGAUAAAGCGAAUCCGAGAAUCUCUUUACAUAUUUUAUUGAAGCACUUCGGAGAAAAGACCACUUACUCAUCUCACUUGGCACCGAGAGAAAAUACGACAAAUUUAUAAACAUUUUUUAACGAUAAAAUUUUUAUUAAGAGAGAUUGAAUCAAAGAAUCUUGUUUGAUUCCAGUUGAAUCAAACACGAUUAAUUUUCUCUUGGUGCGAGCGAGACAGACAAAUUGUCCAGUUGCAGUUUUUAAUUUUUUCGCAAAUUAUCUUCAUACACAAUGUCAUAAUCAUAAAAAAAACGAGCCAGAAUACAAGAGCGCGAUACCCCGUUUAAACAAGUAAGCCUUAAAUUUAGAAUCGAGUUUACAGUUUGGAAAAAAGGGAGUGCGCGUUGAAAGCGAUGUAAGUUGAAAUAACGAAAAUCCCGGAUUUGAUUUUCGGGUUUCCUCAAAAUUUUGAUAGAGGACAAAUUUUUGAACAAUUAAUAAGAUAACGACGCGAGGUCGACCGAUUUCAACCUCGACCGAUCAUGUGUGAUUAUAAUGUGUGGAUGUUAAAUGUUUUAAUUAAAAAAUUUGUGAUUAUGACAAAGCUGUAACGAAGAAGUUUCGUGCAGGUGAAAUCGGUCGUCCUUUGGUUCGAUCUCCCUUUUUUUUUAUUACAAUGCAAGUCACAAUAUUCUUAAUUUCCAGAUCGCUUCGCGAAUUCAGGCGACUUGGCCUUUUUGACUUUGCAGAAUUUUAAUAAAUAGAGAAAAAGGCAUGGCACUCGCGUGAGUUCGCGAAGAGCUCGACAAAUCCAGAAUCUGAAAAAAGGACCGGCUCUCCUAAUAAGAUCUUUCGGGGUUUCUUCUUUUUUUCGGAAAAUGAAUUUCUAGAUGUAAGGCGGGCACACGCGUUUGCCCGCGAAUUCUGCUGCGCGUACAGCAAAUCGUACUGAUUAUUUUAAGGGAACCGAGAUUCGAUUGUGUACCUUGAUAUAUCAAAAGAUGCGUUUAUCGCGAAAGUGGAAUGUACGAAUGUGAUGAAUGGAUGUCUGUGAAACAAACCGAAAGAGUGCUUCCUGCCCAAAGAAAGGACGCGUUUUCUUUCUUCGACUGCAAAACGUUUUUAAUUAUACAAAUUUACUUUUAUAUCGAAAACGUGCCCUUUUCUCGCCAUCUUUUUUUUUCCUGUGGUGGGUGUGAACCUCCGACUGAGAAUGCGUUUGAAAAAAAAAACGGAAAUAAUGUAUGUUCGGGAAAACAAAUGUCGGAUGUUGACGCUCACUUUUGAGCCUUUUUUUUCUGUAUUAUGUUACACACGUAUUAUACACACAAUUAAUCUAAGUUCACUUUUUGAUUGACGAGGUGUUAAUUGAAAUCCCAGAUUUCGUAAGAGGCAUUUCUUAUUUUGUGUUUUAUUAUUGUUGCCUGGUGGAAGUUGUUUUAAAGUAUAUGAUGAUCGACGAAACGAAUUUCCUCGAGUGUGAAUGAGUGUGUGAAAGAUUUAAGUGUAGCCUUACGUUUUAAGCUACGAUCACUGUGAUUUCCGUUUAAUCUCUUAAUGGUCGAGCGGACACAAUGCAAUGUAUCGGGUAAAAAGACUUUAUUGAAGUAGGACGAUGUUAAACGAAGCGACUUUUUGUUGCGAGAAUUUAAGAAAAAAGUGAGAUAAGUGCGCGUUUUGAGACGUGAAUCAAGAGCGUCCAGGGACUUAAAAAGAGCACGAACUUUGCAUACAAAUAUUUAAUAUAGAGGAGUGAUAUAGAUAUUUUGUAAAAGAUAGGAGUUGUGUCAGAAGCUUGAGACGCGAUGGAAAAAAGUGUAAGAUUGAUGAAGAGAGAAGAAGGAAGAGAGAAGGGAAUUUGAGAAAGAAGAUGAGAAAUGGGAAGGCUCGCUGUGCGUGAGGACGAGAGGAUCUGCUCCCUUUUUGAAAAUGCGCGCAUCCGUCUGUUUUUCUCGGAAAACAAGCAAAUCUCACGUGUUUGCGCAGGGCUUGCCCGACCCGACGUUCAGACCAUUGAACAAUUUAACAUCUGAAGGAUUGGAAAGAAGCUUCUUUUUCAAAUUCAAAAGGGGGCUUGGGAAUGAAGGGAGAAUCGAGAGGAAAAAGGUUGGGAGAAGAUUAUAGAGGAAGAGAAUUUUUGAAGAGAUUUUAAAGAAUAAAUAUAUCUAAGGAAGAAUUUCAAUAAGAGAAGAGGUCGCGAAAGUUUCAUCGUCAGGAGAGCUGUCCCGAAUAAUAAAGAGUUUCCAGAUGGAUGCGUCUCAUUCCACGAUUCGCGCAUGCAUUUGCUGCUCACGAAUCCAUUUGUAGUCUACAACAUUUGUCUGUGUUCAAGUGUUUUUCACGAAGAACACGCAGAGCUCAUUCAUAAAUGAUUAGGGCAGUUAUAUACAUAAAUAGAAGGCGUAAAGAAAAAAAAAGGACACUUAAGAGGAGAAACGAGGCCCGACAUAUUGUGUGGUGCAGCAAACAUAUAUAAAAAAGCUCAUCGCCAACCUUCUCGAUUUACCGAGGAGGAAACUCGGGUCUGGAAGAGGGGGAGGUACAAUGAUCGAAACAGAGACUGAAGGCGAGAAAAGAGAAUGAAAAGUGUGUGAUUGGGGGUUUAUAUGAAAGGAGAAGAAAAUGUGAAAAUCUUUUUUGCGAUAGCAAGGAGGAACAAAAAAAAAAGAAAAAAAUAAGUAUUAAGAACCGCCGGAGAGAAGAGAGAGAGAGAGAGAGGAAUGAAGAGAUGAGGAGUCCUGUUCGACAGAAGCUUUAAAUUUCUUUUAUAUAGUCUUAAGAGGAGUUGAAAUGUUACAAUCAGAAGGAAGGCGAAAUUUCAUUAAGAAUUGAUUUAUAUUUGCACAAUAGAAAAAUUCUGAAGAGAAGGAGGAGAAGGAGGCAGAGUCGAAAACUUGUUCCAAAAGUAUUCACCGAUGGAGAAAAUCACUGAUCUCAUUCACCUAUCCGAUGCUGAUCAUCGGAUAUUCAUCAUUUUAUUCGAGAUUUUAUCAUUCCAGAAAGUCGAUUGAAUCAGACGCAGGAGGGUGUUUAUCACUAUUCAAUUGAGGAGGAAGUUUUUGCAGAUAACAAUUUUGGAACUUGAUUUAUCGACAUCAAAUUUACAACCCAUUUCUCAAUAUACUGUGAUCUUUCCUUUUUUUCACCUUUCCUACAUUGCCAGUCAAUACCAAAUCCAAUAGAACGAAGCCAAUCUCAUUCCUUUCCCAUAGCUUCGAUUAAUUUUUUUGUUUUAUUCUACGUAUAUCUGCACACCCAUCUUACGUAUCCCGUCCACAUCCCAAUAUAUCAUCUGUUUUCUUUUAGGGCCCUUUUCAGGGCCCGCAAAUGGUUCUCAAUGAAGGAAAGAUUCUAUUGUUCAAACAUGAAAAAAAACUGUCCUUUUUAGGACAAAAAUAUGGAAUGAAUAUGAAAAUAUUUGUGUCUGAUUUUAUAAUUAAUUAUUGGAUUUUCGAAUUGGAGAGUCAACAUUUGCUACUGAAAAUGUAAAUAAUUUUGUCGAUUCAUGGCGAAAAUCCUCUGAUUCAUUGUACAUUUCAGGAAUGUUAAAUCUGUCCUUUUCAGGGCAUUAUAACGUGGCAUAUAUACCUGAGGUAUUGAAAGAUUUAAACCUGUCCUUUUCAGGAUAAUUCUAUGUAUAAUGUACAAUUCUUUCCGCAGGUAUUUUCUUCUAGGAACUUCCUUCUUUAUUCAAUCUUUUCUAAUCUGUUCCUUUUGUAAAAUAUCUUUUGUAAUCUGUAACUUUCCCUUCUGUAAUAUUUUUUUUACUUUUAUUUUGUGUAUUUGAAAUUACAAUUUAAAAUUUUAUCCAAAAAUACAAUUGUAAUUUUUUUAAUAAACGUUUUUUUAUAAUUUUUCUAUUUAUUUUGUUUAAAUUUUUUUAAAUUUUAAUUUAAAAAGAAGAUAAAUUUGAAGAAGAAAUUGAAGAUUUACUUUGCCAAGGACUUUUCGCUGAGAAGAAACAUUAGGAGCAGUCGUUUCGAGAUCUCAUUUUUGGGGGUCAUCGACUUCCUCAGGUCAAUAACGGACAGCUGGGAAGGCCAGGAUAUAUGCAAGAAGCUCGAUGUUGAGAAAAAGACGUCUGGAGUAUUUUAAAAUAGAGUCCCCACAAUGAAAAGAGAAGGAUCCUUGGAAGAAAAAUCAAAACUGGUGAUGGUUAGUCCAGCUUCAACCGCACGUUCUCGAUUCCCUCCUGCACUUCGUGGUCUUGCAUUUUCGGAUGGAUUGUGUUCCUUAGCUACUUUGAAUCUAAAACCAUUAAGAAACCAAAACGGAUGCAUCACCGACAAUCUUUGUUUGCCAUUGCAACUGGGAUACAUAAUCACCAUGGGCGAAAACUUGGACUGGUGUCACUGACAUGUCAUCCCGAAGAUUCCACACCAAUACGUCACCUGGAAAUAAAAAUGUGAUUUAAUUUUGAGACUGAUAGAUUUAGGAAUUGGAUUUCUUUGUUCUAAUAGUGAAAGCUCUGCUUGUUGAGAAUUGUAAAUAAGCCAGCAAUGAAGUUAAAAGGAAAUAUAUUUUUUGAUAAGCAA